UUGUGUCAAUAAAAACCCCAAAAAGAAAAGAAAAUGAAGAAAAAAAAUAAGAGAAUGGGGAUAACAAAUUUUUGAGCUAAGAUACAUAGUUGUUAAGACAAAGAAAAGAAAAGAAAAUAGUGUUCAUUGGGUAAGAGAUGAAAAUGAGUGUACAUUUGGGAUUUGAGAUGAAGAAAAGAAAGGGUAGAACUUAAAAAUUGUCUAGGAAAAGGGUACAAUGAUGAGAACCGAUUUAUGUAUGCAUUAAUUGCUCCUUUUCUUAGAUAAAUUUUGCAUAAUGAUCAAGCUCAUAUUCUUGAGUGUAAGUCACCAUAGCAAAAUGUAUUUGGACCCUUCUCAUUCUUCACAUUAAGCCAUUUUUUCUCACCAAACCAAAUGAUUUGGACCAAUUGGCAAUUUGCGAGAAUUCACUUAUGAUAUUUCUUAUUGAAUGUGAGAGUUGGUUGAUUUGAGGAUUCAUGAUAAUGAGUUAAAAGAUCAAAGGAAUUGAAAGGCCUAGAGAAGUUAGAGCUAAUAAAAACAUCUUGCUCUUGCUAUUUGUUAUGAUUUUGUAAGGAUAUCACAACGAUGGCAUUGAAGAGUUUCUUAAGGUCAUGAAUUUCCAUUUGUGUAUUGAAACAUCACUUCCCAUGUUCUUGAAAGUUUACUUGAGGACAAGUAAAGGACUAGUGUGGGGGAGUUGAUGUGUUGUGAUUUUGCAUAGUUUUAGCUUUGUUAUUUCAUAUAUAUUCAUGCAUUAACCUUACAUUUAUUUGCAUUUAGAGUCUAUUGCAUGUACAUUUGCAUCUUGUAGGUGUUGGAUGAAUUGUUUGGAGUUUUGGAGGUGAUUAGAGCACAAAAGGAGCUUUCGAGGAGUCUUGAACCGAACGUGUGAAAGACAAGCAUGGAUGAAGGUCUUAAAGAUAUCUUUUGAAACUUGUCUUUUGGGAAGACAUGGUAAAUUGAGUUAGCUUUACAAUGGAGGUGGUUUCAAGUCGUUUGGAGCUGUAUUGAGGGAUUUAUGAUCAAAAUACUACACACAUAUCAGUGUGUGCAACAUGGAGAAAGUGGAGAAAACUUUAAUGAGUGAGUUUUAUCUCUUUAAAGCUUGCAACAUGGGGGAUGGGUUGUCUAUCAUGAGUUUGGUGGCUCUUUUGGCCUAACUUUCUCUACCUUUUCUGAAGAGGCAAGACUACUUUGGCCAUAUGAAGGGGCAAAAGGUGUUCUAUAAUGGAAGAAAGUGGAGAAUAACUUUUAUGAGUGUGUUUUAUGCUUUAUGCUUUCACAUGAUGGAUGUGUUGUCAUCCUCCUUUACUUAGGCUAUAAAAGAGACUGCAAGGGGAAGGAGAAAGACACACAAUACACAAAGUACAAUACAACAAAGAGUAGAGAGUGAAAGUUUUAUAGUUUCAUAUUUUGUAUUUUGAGAGUUUGAGAGAAAACAUUUGUUCUUGAGCUGUUCUUCAUUGUUCAUCAUCUAUUCUUGAGUUUUAAUUUC